rnacentral:rRNA from 1 species
UACGUAGGGGGCGAGCGUUGUCCGGAUUUAUUGGGCGUAAAGAGCUCGUAGGCGGCUUGUCGCGUCGACUGUGAAAACCCGCGGCUCAACCGUGUGGUCUGCAGUCGAUACGGGCAGGCUAGAGUUCGGUAGGGGAGACUGGAAUUCCUGGUGUAGCGGUGAAAUGCGCAGAUAUCAGGAAGAACACCGAUGGCGAAGGCAGUGGGCUGGGCCGGUACUGACGCUGAGGAGCGAAAGCGUGGGGAGCGAACAGG